rnacentral:rRNA from 1 species
CAUGGUCGCAACGGGUAACGGAGGGUUAGGGCUCGACCCCGGAGAAGGAGCCUGAGAAACGGCUACUACAUCCAAGGAAGGCAGCAGGCGCGCAAAUUACCCAAUCCCGACUCGGGGAGGUAGUGACAAUAAAUACUGAUACAGGGCUCUUUUGGGUCUUGUAAUUGGAAUGAGUACAAUUUAAAUCCCUUAACGAGGAACAAUUGGAGGGCAAGUCUGGUGCCAGCAGCCGCGGUAAUUCCAGCUCCAAUAGCGUAUAUUAAAGUUGUUGCAGUUAAAAAGCUCGUAGUUGAACCUUGGGCCUGGCUGGCCGGUCCGCCUCACCGCGUGCACUGGUCCGGCCGGGCCUUUCCCUCUGGGGAACCUCAUGCCCUUCACUGGGUGUGUCGGGGAAACAGGACUUUUACUUUGAAAAAAUUAGAGUGCUCCAGGCAGGCCUAUGCUCGAAUACAUUAGCAUGGAAUAAUAAAAUAGGACGUGUGGUUCUAUUUUGUUGGUUUCUAGGACCGCCGUAAUGAUUAAUAGGGACAGUCGGGGGCAUCAGUAUUCAAUUGUCAGAGGUGAAAUUCUUGGAUUUAUUGAAGACUAACUACUGCGAAAGCAUUUGCCAAGGAUGUUUUCAUUAAUCAGGAACGAAAGUUAGGGGAUCGAAGACGAUCAGAUACCGUCGUAGUCUUAACCAUAAACUAUGCCGACUAGGGAUCGGACGAUGUUAUAUUUUGACUCGUUCGGCACCUUACGAGAAAUCAAAGU